UACGGGGGGGGCAAGCGUUGUUCGGAGUUACUGGGCGUAAAGGGUGUGUAGGCGGUUCUUUAAGUUUGGUGUGAAAUCUCCCGGCUCAACCGGGAGGGUGCGCCGAAUACUGAGGGACUAGAGUGUGGGAGAGGAAAGUGGAAUUCCUGGUGUAGCGGUGAAAUGCGUAGAUAUCAGGAGGAACACCGGUGGUGUAGACGGCUUUCUGGGCCAUAACUGACGCUGAGACACGAAAGCGUGGGUAGCAAACAGG
rnacentral:rRNA from 1 species